GGAGAGGUGGCCGAGUGGUCGAAGGCGCUCGCCUGCUAAGCGAGUAUACGGCUUAAAACCGUAUCGUGGGUUCGAAUCCCAUCCUCUCCGCCA
rnacentral:tRNA from 1 species